UUCCCAGCACAGUAACAUCCACCAUCACAGCGUCACUGAGAUCCUCUGGGACUCUUUUACAAAAUUCCCCAUAAUGACUCUCGUGUUUUCUUCACCUCGCGGAGUUUUCCCAUUUUAGCGUGUAUAGCAGUCAGCAGGAGGAGGAGGAGUCUGCCAGCUGAAGCUUGUUUGCAGACUCUCGGUGCGUUUUGGACUAAGCCCGUGCUUUUAUGGGUCAGGCUUAGUUCCAGUCUGAAUUCUAGGUAUUUAUGAUAUUUUUUCCUCUUGUUUUUCAAAAAGUGUUUCUUUGACGGACAGCUUGUGAGGAGACACAGCAGCAGGGAUAUUUGGUCAUGAGCGUCUCCGUUUAACUCUGCGAUGGAGUCAAGUAUGAGAGUUAUUGUCCUUCUCGUUGUGAUGAGAUUUUCUGCUUCUGAGGAAGUGAAGAAGAACCUGACGGGCACUGUGGGAGGAAACAUCACUCUACCUGCACCUGUGCAGGAGGAAGAGUUAGGAUAUCUGUCAUAUGGAAGAACGAUUAUUGCUGAUGUGAAAGGUGGGAUAUUUGACUUAUCAGAGGACAUUUACAAGAACCGACUUCAGUGGGACAGAAACUCUGGACUCUUUACACUCACAGAGCUGCAGAGGAACGACUCAGGGAUUUAUACUGUCGACUCUAAAACAGGAAAAGUUUUCACAUCAUCAUAUAAGCUCACAGUGUACGACUCUGUACCGACUCCUGCAGUGAAGAAAGUGAGUGUGAGCUCUGAGAGCUGCUCCUUACUGUGUUUGGUGGACAGAGAGACCAAACUGCUGUGGUUUAAAGACGAGCAGAGACUGAACCAGAGCAGCUCUGCGCUCUCUCUGCCUCUCACUGUGCACAAACAGGACUUAAACUCCUCUUACACAUGUGUGGCUGCAAACCCUGCAGAGAAUAAAACUCUUCCUGUCCAUGUGAGAACGACCUGUGGAGACACCAACAAUGACACCAACAGCUCGACUGAACCAAGAAACUAUAACAUCCUCAUUAUAAUCUUCUGUGUCCUGUUGGUUGUGAUCAUCGUACUUGCUGCUUUUGUCAUGAAGUCAAUGUAUCUUCACAAAGAAAAGGAAGAAAAAAUACGAAAACUAUUACCAACAAUCUGAAUAUAGUAUCAGCUGGAGCCUUGUACAUGAUGCUCAGACUCUGGUGAUGAUGUUGGGUGAACAACAAAUCAGGUCAUCAGUCAGUUUCUACGCCUGUUAAAGUCGUGUUAUUAAGUCUGGAGCUGAUAUUGUUUUACCUGACAAAUUAUUGUGGGUCCUUUACAGGAGAAAACAUAAUACUGAUGUCAUUCAAGCAUAAUCUCUGGAAGAGAUUAAUGUUUGAACAGCAGCUAUUGUGGUGCUAAGAUAUUAUAAAGAUAUUAUGGUGCCUUUUUAUACACUGCUGUUAGCUCUGCAGCAUCGAUUCAUGGUGGAAAUGUUUGUUUUUAAAGGAAAUGACAAAAAUCAGGCUGCAGAUGACAGUUAAUAAAAAUCAUUCUUUAUAACUCAUAGUUAUGAUCAAAUUUUAAUACAUUUUUAAAUACAUAUUAUUGCUGCUGAGGAAAAACAUACAAGCGUAGGUGUUCAUGUCUGCUGCUGUUUUUUUGUAUUUGCUCAAACUCGCUCAGUUUUGGGCCUUUUGAUUGAUUUGAAUCUGAACGUUUACGUACGAGACCAAAACCUGAUGUAAUCCCAGACGUGUUACUGUGAGUGUUUCUGUGGCCUGAAAAUCAAAGAGCAUCAGUAUUAUUAUUAUUAUCACAUGCUGGUCCAGCAAUGAGAAAAUCUUUAUCAUCCCACAUGAACAAUCACUGCAUUCAGUUUAGAUUUAACCCUCUGAGCUCCUCCUUUAGGAUAGUUUUCACCUUUGAACUGUUUUACUUUGUAAUAUUCUUUUCAUUUUAUUGAGCCCAGUGUUUUCAUAUUUUGCCUCCUAUAAAACACUAAUUUCCUGACUUCUGGUAUAAAUUAAAUUCUUCUUGUUUCUGGUUCUUCUUUAUUAUAAUGUUUGCCCAUGUUCAAAUAUUUCUGCACUUUAAAACUCAGAUAUGUGUUUGGGAUGAAUUGUAGGAAUCAUGUUUAUCUCAUUUCUGUUAUUGAAACUGUCUGAAAGCUCAGUUAUUGAUCAAUAUGUUUACUUUCACAAUGUAAUGAUUUUACUUUUAUUUGAAGUUUAAAUUGAGACUGACAGCAAAGGUACCUGAGGAGCAUCAAAUAAACCAAGUUUUCUUUCA
ensembl:lncRNA